UACGGGGGGGCAAGCGUUGUUCGGAAUUACUGGGCGUAAAGGGCUCGUAGGUGGCCAACUAAGUCCGACGUGAAAUCCCUCAGCUUAACUGGGGAACUGCGUCUGAUACUGGAUGGCUUGAGUUUGGGAGAGGGAUGCGGAAUUCCAGGUGUAGCGGUGAAAUGCGUAGAUAUCUGGAGGAACACCGGUGGCGAAGGCGGCAUCCUGGACCAACACUGACACUGAGGAGCGAAAGCCAGGGGAGCAAACGGG
rnacentral:rRNA from 1 species